rnacentral:rRNA from 1 species
UUUAACUGAAGAGUUUGAUCAUGGCUCAGAUUGAACGCUGGCGGCAGGCUUAACACAUGCAAGUCGAGCGGGGGAA